rnacentral:misc_RNA from 1 species
AAGUCGUAACAAGGUAUCUGUAGGUGAACCUGCAGAUGGAUCAUUUCGAUGAAAAACCUUUUUUCUUGAGGUGUGGCUCGCACCUGUCUAACUAAACUUGAGCUACCCCCUUUUAACACGGUUGCAUCGGUUGGCUGUCCAACAGCGCGGACCUCGCGUUCGCUGCUGGAAAGGCGGUCGACACUUUUUACACCAAAACACUUUUGAUGAUCUAGGAGUUGAAUGAAAAAAAAAGUUUAAUUUUUUAACUAAAAAACAACUUUUGGCAACGGAUCUCUUGGUUCUCC